rnacentral:rRNA from 1 species
AGAGUUUGAUCCGGGCUCAGGAUGAACGCUAGCUACAGGCUUAACACAUGCAAGUCGAGGGGUAACAUUGGCUGAGCUUGCUCAGCCAGAUGACGACCGGCGCACGGGUGAGUAACGCGUAUCCAACCUUCCCCAUAGUAGGGAAUAGCCCGGCGAAAGUCGGAUUAAUGCCCUAUGUUGUAUUAUGAGGACAUCUGAGUAAUACCAAAGAUUCAUCGCUAUGGGAUGGGGAUGCGUCUGAUUAGGUAGUAGGCGGGGUAACGGCCCACCUAGCCGACGAUCAGUAGGGGUUCUGAGAGGAAGGUCCCCCACAUUGGUACUGAGACACGGACCAAACUCC